rnacentral:rRNA from 1 species
AAACUUUCAACAACGGAUCUCUUGGCUCUGGCAUCGAUGAAGAACGCAGCGAAAUGCGAUAAGUAAUGUGAAUUGCAGAAUUUAGUGAAUCAUCGAAUCUUUGAACGCACAUGGCGCCCCUUGGUAUUCCGAGGGGCAUGCCUGUUCGAGCGUC